AACGAACGCUGGCGGCAGGCCUAACACAUGCAAGUCGAGCGAAGCCUUCGGGCUUAGCGGCGGACGGGUGAGUAACGCGUGGGAACGUGCCCUUUGCUACGGAAUAGCCCCGGGAAACUGGGAGUAAUACCGUAUGUGCCCUUCGGGGGAAAGAUUUAUCGGCAAAGGAUCGGCCCGCGUUGGAUUAGGUAGUUGGUGGGGUAAUGGCCUACCAAGCCGACGAUCCAUAGCUGGUUUGAGAGGAUGAUCAGCCACACUGGGACUGAGACAUGGCCCAGACUCCUACGGGAGGCAGCAGUGGGGAAUCUUAGACAAUGGGGGAAACCCUGAUCUGGCCAUGCCGCGUGAUCGAUGAAGGCCUUAGGGUUGUAAAGAUCUUUCAGUGGGGAAGAUAAUGACUGUACCCACAGAAGAAGCCCCGGCUAACUCCGUGCCAGCCGCCGCGGUAACAC
rnacentral:rRNA from 1 species